AAGAGUUGCAAAACUCCAACCAUUGUUAACCUUACUGUUAUUCGUUUCCCUCGGCGGGCGGCCUUCGCCCUAAACCGCGACCCCCCUUUUGCGGGGGGCGGAGCGACCCGCCGGGGGCACUAAACUCUUAUUAUUAUGGCUUCUGUGAGUAUACUUUUAAAUAAGUUA
rnacentral:misc_RNA from 1 species